rnacentral:lncRNA from 1 species
CUAUUAACAAAACACCACCUUCACUGUACAUUAGGUCUACAAAGCCUCUAGACAAUACACAGAGUUUAACUAAGGUCGGGACACACCCCGCUAUAUAACUAACUUCUAUACAAUACCAAAAGUGACUGGAUAUGACACGGAAAGCCCCGAAGCAAACUGGAGCUCACCAAAAGCAGCUGGAUAUCCUGGCUCCUACUUGUGCGGUGUAUGAGCUGAGGUACCUGUACCUGCAGCAUGAAAUGCGGGUCCCCUGUGGGGGACGUUAGCACAAAAUAUGUACUAAGUAUGUAAAGCUGUAGAUAAUCAUAUAUGAUAUAGGAGCUCAAUAGAAAUCAGAAACAAGUGAAUAAAUCGUAAUAAGAAUGGACCACACUUACCAGAACUUGUGACAACCUGUACAUUGUAUUUAUUUAAUCACUUUACCUUCGUUCUUAUCAUCUUUGUAAUCAUUACUGUAUUGUACUAUGACCAUUAAGCUGCCUCCAGUACAUAUAUGUACAAUAACAAAACAUAAGGAACCGACUCGGAAAGCUCCGAAGCAAACUGGAGCUCACCAACAAUAGCUGUAUGACCUGGCUCCUACUUGUGCGGUGUAUGAGUUGAGGUACCUGUGCCUGCAGCAUGAAAUGCAGGUCCCCC